rnacentral:lncRNA from 1 species
CUCCCGGAGGGUGAGGCGUUGGGGACCAGGCGGGAGCACAGCCGAACCCCUACCUUUCGGGCGGGGCGGACACCAGCCGCGCGCCCUCGCCGGGCGCCGGGACCGGAAAAUCACCGCGAAGGGAGGGACGAGGAAAGGCGGCGGGUGGCUUCAGGACAAGGACUUUGUGAUUACAUUGGGCCCAUCCAGAUCAUCCAGGAUCAUCUUCCCAUCUCAAGAUUCUUCACUUAAUCACAUCUGCAAAAUUCCUUUUGCUGUCUGUGAGAUAUCGGUGGGCGAGGAUGUGAUGCCUGAAGAUGUGGCAUCUACCUUGAAACAGUCAAGGACCUGAGGAUGAAGCCAGCAUCUGAGGAAGACAGACAGAAAGGAUCUGGAUACAUCAUGAGCCUGAAAAGUAUCUUGCAUACACAACUGGCAGCACAGAAUCCUGACAAACCUCUCAUCAGAAAUCAACCACAGACUCUUUAUGCUCUUACCAAAAUGCUGGCUUUGAGAACUAAUUAUGAAUGAAAAUUACUGAUGUGAUUUUCAGUCUAGGGAAGAAUAUCAAGUUAAACUUUAUGAAGUCCAAGACAAUGGGAAAAGAAGAGGUGUUCCUGUCCAGGCCCUCUUCCAGUUAGAAGGUGAUGGUUUCCAGAAGUCUGCACCUGUAUUUCAAUUACCUAUAAUGGAGUUUAUAGGACUAAACUAUAUUCACUAUAUUUUCUUAUUUUUGUGUGUGUGUUUGAUGUGCUGGCAACUGGGGACUUGGUAACUGGGGAGGGAUAGCUCUUCUCAGGAAGAGCUAAUUCUUAGAGAUACAGGGAGCAUGCUUUUCAUAUGCAAACUACUCAAACUGGAGUCCACACUUCCCCAACCUCCUCUAUAGGACUCUUACUCUCCUGCCCGAUAUUCCCCUGCUCUAAUCAUCUUGGGGCCAGGUACCAGGCAACUCAGGACGGCCACUACACCUCCAGAGCCCACUGACAUUAUUAAAACUAGACAAUUCUAAGCUGCUUGCCCUACCUUGACCUUAUUCCUUUUGUUGCAAAACGCAAUAAAGGGUCUUGCCACAUUUUCCUUCUGCUCCCUCUGCCUCCGGACUGACCCUGGUGCUUUCCUUUGUGGGCCUUCGUGGCUUACCUCGUGUUUCUAGGAACCUGCAAGUGUAAAAACUUCUUUCUUCAUGACAGUCAUUUCCAUGACUGCUGCCUUACUAUACCUGAUUUAAACAAAUCCUGAGCACAUUUUAAAACAUAAAUUCAACAGCUGGACCUGCUAUGCAGAGCAAUUCAGGCGGAGGGAAUGGCUCAUGCACACUCUCCAAGUACUGUUAGGUAUGAGUUCUAAAUUUCUCUUCAAAGAAUCAAUAUGUCAGUAUGUUCAGUUCUUUGCCUUCUACUGUUAAACUUAACUUCCUCGUAAAGCAACCUUUUUCCAUUACCUGCUCCACCCUGACUCAUUCUGAUUACCUGCUCAUUCUCCACCCUGGCUUACUCUGAUUUCCUGCUCUGCCCUGUAACCAUUUUUCCCGCCAAACCACUCACCCUGUCACUCUCUUUAAAUUAGCCAAUUGGAAUUAGUUUAGCCUGUGCAGUCUAACCCAAGCCAAUAGGGGAACCAUACAGCAGCAGGGACCACGUGCCUCAGGGAUAAGAACCCCUUCCCCUCCCUUGUCCAAGUGUGCGCUCACGAUUGCUCCAUCUGUAAGGGUGCACCCUUCUAUAGAAGUACGUUGUCUUGCUGAGAAUUAAAAAGAAAAUUUUAUAUUCGAGCGCUAUUUCUUUUGCGGCACUGAAACUUUAUUUAUAAUAGUAUGAAUGAGCCUGGCAUGUGCAGGGAAGAACCAGCAGAUCGGUCUGGCUGGAGCAUAUCAUACGAGGGGAGCGUAAUGGGCAAGGAAGCCAAAGAGGAGGUAGGAGCUAGAUCGUUCAUCACGCAGGGCCUCGAAGGCAAGG